rnacentral:rRNA from 1 species
AGAGUUUGAUCCUGGCUCAGAACGAACGCUGGCGGCAGGCCUAAUACAUGCAAGUCGAGCGCAUCCUUCGGGAUGAGCGGCGGACGGGUGAGUAACGCGUGGGAAUAUGCCCUUCUCUAAGGAAUAGCCUCGGGAAACUGAGAGUAAUACCUUAUACGCCCUUCGGGGGAAAGAUUUAUCGGAGAAGGAUUAGCCCGCGUUAGAUUAGGUAGUUGGUGGGGUAAUGGCCUACCAAGCCUACGAUCUAUAGCUGGUUUGAGAGGAUGAUCAGCCACACUGGGACUGAGACACGGCCCAGACUCCUACGGGAGGCAGCAGUAGGGAAUCUUAGACAAUGGGGGAAACCCUGAUCUAGCCAUGCCGCGUGUGUGAUGAAGGCCUUAGGGUCGUAAAGCACUUUCGCCAGAGAUGAUAAUGACAGUAUCUGGUAAAGAAACCCCGGCUAACUCCGUGCCAGCAGCCGCGGUAAUACGGAGGGGGUUAGCGUUGUUCGGAAUUACUGGGCGUAAAGCGCACGUAGGCGGAUUAGUAAGUUAGAGGUGAAAUCCCAGGGCUCAACCCUGGAACUGCCUUUAAUACUGCUAGUCUUGAGUUCGAGAGAGGUAAGUGGAAUUCCGAGUGUAGAGGUGAAAUUCGUAGAUAUUCGGAGGAACACCAGUGGCGAAGGCGGCUUACUGGCUCGAUACUGACGCUGAGGUGCGAAAGUGUGGGGAGCAAACAGGAUUAGAUACCCUGGUAGUCCACACCGUAAACGAUGAAUGCCAGACGUCAGCAAGUAU